AUUGAACGCUAGCGGCAUGCCUUACACAUGCAAGUCGAACGGAGUGGCGAACGGGUGAGUAAUGUAUCGGAACGUGCCCAGCCGCGGGGGAUAACUACGCGAAAGCGUAGCUAAUACCGUAUACUAUUUGAGCGGCCUAUGCCGUGUUAGCUCGUUGGUGGGGUAACGGCUAACCAUGGCGACGAACCGUAGCUGGUUUGAGAGGACGACCAGCCACACUGGGACUGAGACACGGCCCAGACUCCUACGGGAGGCAGCAGUGGGGAAUUUUGGACAAUGGGGGAAAGCCUGAUCCAGCCAUGCCGCGUGUGCGAUGAAGGCCUUCGGGUUGUAAAGCACUUUUAGCAGGGAAGCGGUACCUGCAGAAUAAGCACCGGCUAACUACGUGCCAGCAGCCGCGGUAAUAC
rnacentral:rRNA from 1 species